rnacentral:rRNA from 1 species
AUAAGAGGUCCAGCCUGCCAGUGACUAAUGUUCAACGGCCGCGGUAUCCUAACCGUGCGAAGGUAGCGUAAUCACUUGUUCUUUAAAUGUGGACUAGUAUGAACGGCACCACGAGGGUUAUACUGUCUCCUUUCUCCAAUCAGUGAAACUAAUCUCCCCGUGAAGAAGCGGGGAUAUACUUAUAAGACGAGAAGACCCUAUGGAGCUUUAAAGUUAUCUUCAAACGCCAAACCUCUUCCAAGUCAUAGACUCCUUCACGAAACCACGCGCCAUGAAGACAACUUUUAGGUUGGGGUGACCAUGGAGUAUAAAACAACCUCCACGCUGAACAGGCCUCUAAACCUUUAGCCAAGGGCCACAGCCCGCCGCACUAAAAAAUUAACACACAUUGAUCCAAUGAAUUUUGAUCAACGAACCAAGUUACCCUAGGGAUAACAGCGCAAUCUACUUCAAGAGUUCCUAUCGACAAGUGGGUUUACGACCUCGAUGUUGGAUCAGGGUGUCCCAGUGGUGCAGCCGCUACUAAUGGUUCGUUUGUUCAACGAUUAAAACCCUACGUGA